ensembl:snRNA U6 U6 spliceosomal RNA
GUACUUGCUUUGGCAGCACAUAUUCUAAAAUUAAAUGAUUCAGAGAUUAGCAUAGCCUCUGUGCAAAGAGGACACAAAAAAGUAAUUUGAAUAAUCAUUUAUU